rnacentral:rRNA from 1 species
CAGUAGCCGCGGGAACACGUAGGGCGCAAGCGUUAUCCGGAAUUAUUGGGCGUAAAGAGCUCGUAGGCGGUUUGUCGCGUCUGCCGUGAAAGUCCGGGGCUCAACCCCGGAUCUGCGGUGGGUACGGGCAGACUAGAGUGAUGUAGGGGAGACUGGAAUUCCUGGUGUAGCGGUGAAAUGCGCAGAUAUCAGGAGGAACACCGAUGGCGAAGGCAGGUCUCUGGGCAUUAACUGACGCUGAGGAGCGAAAGCAUGGGGAGCGAACAGGAUUAGAUACCCCCGUAGUCCCUGUCUCUUAUAC